UACGGAGGGUGCAAGCGUUAUCCGGAUUCACUGGGUUUAAAGGGUGCGUAGGUGGGUUGGUAAGUCAGUGGUGAAAUCUCCGUGCUUAACUUGGAAACUGCCAUUGAUACUAUCAGUCUUGAAUACCGUGGAGGUCAGCGGAAUAUGUCAUGUAGCGGUGAAAUGCUUAGAUAUGACAUAGAACACCAAUUGCGAAGGCAGCUGACUACGCGAAUAUUGACACUGAUGCACGAAAGCGUGGGGAUCAAACAGG
rnacentral:rRNA from 1 species